rnacentral:piRNA from 1 species
UUUGUUCUAUUCCUGACCGGC